UACAGAGGGGGGCAAGCGUUGUUCGGAAUUACUGGGCGUAAAGGGCGCGUAGGCGGCCUGCUAAGUCGAACGUGAAAUCCCCAGGCUCAACCUGGGAACUGCGUCCGAUACUGACAGGCUUGAAUCCGGGAGAGGGAUGUGGAAUUCCAGGUGUAGCGGUGAAAUGCGUAGAUAUCUGGAGGAACACCGGGUGGCGAAGGCGACAUCCUGGACCGGUAUUGACGCUGAGGCGCGAAAGCCAGGGGAGCAAAGCGGG
rnacentral:rRNA from 1 species